rnacentral:rRNA from 1 species
GCAAGUCGAACGAGAUUCCCUUCGGGGAUGACAGUGGCGCACGGGUGCGUAAAACGUAGGUAAUCAACCCUUUGAUUCGGGACAACCAUGGGAAACUGUGGCUAAUACCGGAUAAGUUGGAGAGGAAUGAGGUUCUUGUCGGGAAAGACCCGCAAGGGUUGUCAAAGGACGAGCUCGCGGACCAUCAGCUAGUUGGUGAGGUAAAAGCUCACCAAGGCUAAGACGGGUAGCUGGUCUGAGAGGAUGAUC